AUCGGGUCUCAGAGAAAUAAAAAUAAAAAUAAUUAGAAACAAGGAGGAAGUAGAGCUGCCUAGCGGGACCGAUGCGGAUAUAUUAGAAAAGCUGGAAAAAAAAGGAACAAAAACUGUGCCCAGUUCCGCCGUCCUGUCCACAGCGGCAUGGUCCUUCGCCCGGCCUAGAAGUGGACCCCGGAAUAUCGUCCCCGUCCUCCAGCAAAGAUGUUAUUAAACCCUAUUUAAAUACCUACAUAUAAGUUAGAACCCACUAGGCCGUCGCAUAUCUGUGUAUACACUUAUUUAUUUAUUUACCGUUAAUUAUAUUUAUUUAUUUGUUCUUAUAUAUGUAAUUGUCACUAUUUAUAAUUAUUUAUUUAUUUAAUCAUAGUUAAUUUGAUACGCCCAUGCCCAUAAUUUAGGUCACAGAAAGGAAGAGGUUAGGAUGGGGAUUAGGAGGUCGACCUAAACCAGCUAGGAGUUAUAGAAUACCAAAAGAAUGUGUGAAAAAUGUUAUUUAAAGUGAAAUUAUAACGUUUAAUAUGAAUUGCUAGUGUGUUUAGUAUGGGGGGGAAAGGGGACCACAGCGGCGAAAUGGAGAUCGGCCGCUACACUUGAGGAAAAGAGGAGAUUUGUAGUUGUUCCGCGUCGGAGAGAUGAUUGUCCGUGAGGUUUAGUGUAAAGUCCGUUGGUUUGUUUUGAAUCGUCGUUUUGUUGUCAUAUUUGUUCGAGAUGCCCGAACAGCUGGUUUGUUGUGCGACCUGGGGGCCUGGGAAAAACCUAUUCCUGAGAUGACUGGCUAGCCGGCCUUGCCCCACCACUAAAACAGGUUCGUAACAAUAAUGGCGCCCAAUCUAAGACAAAUUUGUGAGUCGCAGUCCGUUCUCGAACACGAAAGUGGGAGAGUACGGCUGCGAAUCACAAAAGUCGAGGAGGUUAUAAAUGUCCAGCCGAGAGGAACGAUCUCGAGUGGUAGUCUGCAGUAAGGGU